AUGGACCAGAAAACCAACAGGAGGAAGAAGUCUCCCUUUGGAAGGACUCCUACUAUGAAGGGUAGGAAUUCUUCAUCGAGACACGGUGCUGAGCUCUCUAUGAACACUACAGUUGAUUUGAAAGAGAGACCAGAUCACUCACCCGUGGCUUCGCCGUCAGCAUCAUCUUCAUCCUUCUUCAAAAGUACAAGCCUGAAAUUCAGCAAUUUCAGUUCUCCUGCAUCAACCAGCACGCAUAUUGAGUCUUUUAGGGUAUUUGCAGCAACAUGGAACGUCGCCGGAAAGACUCCAGAUAUGGAGCUGAAUCUGAAUGACUUGCUGCCUUCUGAUGACCAUUCAGAUAUUUAUGUUCUAGGAUUCCAAGAGGUCGUCCCUCUCAACGCCGGGAACGUGCUUGUGAUCGAGGACAACGAGCCGGCGUCGAGAUGGCUCGCGCUCAUCAACCAGGCGCUCAACCGGACUUCGUCGUCGCCGCCGGCUAGCCGGUCCUUCAGCCAGUCCGCCUCUCCCGCUUCGGCACUCCACACGGCGAGCUCCAGCCCGCUCGACCCAUCGCUGUUUCACAAGAACGGGUCCUCCCCCAGAGAGGUUCGCCGCGCCGCCAUCACCCGCGGCCGCCGGCUCAAGUCGUGCACUUGCCCCGCGGAGAGGCCGCCCCGGCGCCGGCCGUACUCCAAAUCGUCGUCGUCCUGCCUGAUGAUGCGCUGUGGCAGCAGCAAAAACCGGCGCCGGUAUGCUGUCGAGGGCGACACGACGACGUCAGACGAGGAGGACAUGGACGUCGUCGUGGACGGCGGUGGGGAGGCAUCGUCCAUGGCGUCCGACGCCACGCUGUUGCUCCGGCCGGCGGCGGCGAACCUGCAGAGGAGGUACUGCCUGGUGGCGUGCAAGCAGAUGGUGGGUCUCUUCGCAACGGUGUGGGCGCGGCGGGAGCUGGUGGCGCACAUCGGCCACGUCCGGCUCAGCUGCGUCGGCCGCGGCAUCAUGGGCCGCCUUGGCAACAAAGGGUGCAUCUCCGUGAGCAUGUCGCUGCACCAGACGUCCCUGUGCUUCGUGUGCAGCCACCUCGCCUCUGGUGAGAAGGACGGCGACGAGCUCCGCCGCAACUCCGACGUCGUCGAGAUCCUCAAGAACACCCAGUUCCGCCGCGUCUGCAAGCGCUCCGGCCGCCGCAUCCCGGAACGAAUCCUGGACCACGAUCGCGUGAUCUGGCUCGGCGACCUGAAUUACCGGAUCGCGCUGAGCUACGCGGAGGCGAAGAAGCUGGUGGAUGCCGGCGACUGGGCGGCGCUGUUCGAGAAGGAUCAGCUCAAGACGGAGAGGGAGGGCGGGGUGUUCCGCGGGUGGAGCGAGGGCGUCAUCACCUUCGCGCCGACGUACAAGUACUCGUGGAACUCCGACAGCUACUACGUCGGCGAGGACGACGACGGCGCGGCGUCGAAGAAGAAGACGAAGCGGAGGACGCCGGCGUGGUGCGACCGGAUCCUUUGGCGCGGCGACGGGAUCGUGCAGGUGGCGUACGUCCGCGGGGAGUCCAAGUUCUCCGACCACCGCCCCGUGUGCGGCGCAUUCAUCGUCGAGAUCGCCGUCCUCGACGGCACGGCCAAGAUGGUGAAGCUCGUCGCGGCAACGGCCAGCAUGAAGGUCGGAGCGGAGGAGCUCCUCCUACCUCGGCAACCGUAG
rnacentral:rRNA from 1 species